UUUGAUGGCGACCGGCGCACGGGUGAGUAACACGUAUCCAACCUGCCGAUGACUCGGGGAUAGCCUUUCGAAAGAAAGAUUAAUACCCGAUGGCAUAGUUCUUCCGCAUGGUAGAACUAUUAAAGAAUUUCGGUCAUCGAUGGGGAUGCGUUCCAUAAGGUUGUUGGCGGGGUAACGGCCCACCAAGCCUUCGAUGGAUAGGGGUUCUGAGAGGAAGGUCCCCCACAUUGGAACUGAGACACGGUCCAA
rnacentral:rRNA from 1 species